UACGUAGGGACCAAGCGUUGUUCGGAUUUACUGGGCGUAAAGGGCGCGUAGGCGGCGUGGUAAGUCACUUGUGAAAUCUCUGAGCUUAACUCAGAACGGCCAAGUGAUACUGCUGUGCUAGAGUGCAGAAGGGGCAAUCGGAAUUCUUGGUGUAGCGGUGAAAUGCGUAGAUAUCAAGAGGAACACCCUGAGGUGAAGACGGGUUGCUGGGCUGACACUGACGCUGAUGCGCGAAAGCCAGGGGAGCAAACGGG
rnacentral:rRNA from 1 species